UACAGAGGUCUCAAGCGUUGUUCGGAUUCAUUGGGCGUAAAGGGUGCGUAGGCGGCGCGGUAAGUCGGGUGUGAAAUCUUGGAGCUUAACUCCGAAACUGCAUUCGAUACUGCCGUGCUUGAGGACUGGAGAGGAGACUGGAAUUUACGGUGUAGCGGUGAAAUGCGUAGAUAUCUGGAGGAACACCGGUGGCGAAGGCGGCAUCCUGGACCGGCAUUGACGCUGAGGAGCGAAAGCCAGGGGAGCAAACGGG
rnacentral:rRNA from 1 species